UCAAAGAAAAAUUAACACAAGUACAUAUAUACAUAAAUAGCGAAAUGCUUGACAGGGUUAUCGGAGGGAUUACCGGAGGGAUUGGAGGGUUAGUAAAAAGGAUUAUGUAAGUAAAAAUGAGAAACUGGUCCAACAAUUAGACCUGCAGAAGAAACAGUACAAUGUUGAAACCAAGAUCCAAGUGUUGUACAAUGUUGGAAUCAGGUCAGCAAUUACUUGGUUUCCCGGUGGUCGUGUUCCAUUCUGUCGUUGUAAAACGACCAAUUGCAUUGUUUGAUGUUUAGCUUAGAGGCUCUAUGGUUUUGUUUGUGUUUUUUGACAUAUAACACAUGUUAUUGGCUUUGGGGAAUACGUCAAACAAGUCUACGUCUCUUACGAAAAACAUAAAUAUGGAACCAUGCAAAAUUCACAGAGAAGAGCGGAGAUGACAGGAGAAAAAGCAGCAAACUAAACAACAGAUGGAGAGAAUACAGUCUUUGUUGUUUGGAUGUGCAUUAAAUUAAUGGAUUUUCAGUCUCUUUAGUUUUCUUUGUCUCCCUCUCUUCUUGUUUUGCAGAUGGAGUGUGAACCAUUAUUCUUUAUUCGGGACUUUGAAUCAAAUCCUGACAUGGAUUAGAAGCCACCAAUAUCGCUCUGUGAGUGCCUUGAGAAGAUGAGUAUGUUGACGGAUUAUCACUCUUACUCCUACUUGCUAGGGUCUUAUUAAUCAAGUAUUCAUGUGCUGUACCGGCUAGGAUGAGAGACGAAGAAGCUCUCUACAAUGCACUGUCACUUCAGGUUAUCGGAGGGAUUACCGGAGGAAUUACCAGAGGGAUUGGAGGGUUAGUCGGAGGGGUGAGGGACGGAUACAGGCCCGGCCCUUCACACAUUCUCAAGACAUAUUGGUGUUGGACUUCCAAAAAUUUUGAGAUUUUUAGUAAGAAAAGUAGGCCUAAAAAAAAAACAUUUAUUGUAAAACAGGCCUUAAAAUAUAGUUUUAUUGCAAAAAUAAGCCUCAGUUUUAUGAAAGUUAUAGAUUUGGCCUCAAUUUUUAAAUUUAUCUAUUUUUGUUAUUGCAAAAAUAGGCCUCAUUUUCCGAAAUUUUAAAAUUUAGUUUCAGUUUUAAAUUUUUAUCUAUAAAAUCCAUAGAAAAAAUAAAAAUUUGUAUUGGGCCACAAAUUUCACUGGGCCGGCCCUGGACGGAUACUACGAAAAGGAUAAACGGAGAGGCCGCUAUGGCUAUGGCUUCGAGGAGUACAGGGAGGUUGUACCUCGUGUGCAGACCGAUGGAGGCUACUCUGAUCGUCAUGCCCGCUACAAUCACCACAAGAGGCUUCCAGCUCACCAGAUGCUCCCAAACUCUAACGUGGAGGAGUUCUAUGAGAGCAGACAGAGCCACCACACCACUGCGUUGCCGUACCAAAGCAACAAUUACCACCACAACGGAAAAAUGGGUAAUGGAUGGCAGGGGCAGCAUGAAGAUGCAUACAACGACGGGUACGGCGGGAGGAAGCAGCA